rnacentral:rRNA from 1 species
GAUGAACGUUGGCGGCGUGCCUAAUACAUGCAAGUCGAGCGAACAGACGAGGAGCUUGCUCCUCUGACGUUAGCGGCGGACGGUUGAGUAACACGUGGAUAACCUACCUAUAAGACUGGGAUAACUUCGGGAAACCGGAGCUAAUACCGGAUAAUAUAUUGAACCGCAUGGUUCAAUAGUGAAAGACGGUUUUGCUGUCACUUAUAGAUGGAUCCGCGCCGCAUUAGCUAGUUGGUAAGGUAACGGCUUACCAAGGCGACGAUGCGUAGCCGACCUGAGAGGGUGAUCGGCCACACUGGAACUGAGACACGGUCCAGACUCCUACGGGAGGCAGCAGUAGGGAAUCUUCCGCAAUGGGCGAAAGCCUGACGGAGCAACGCCGCGUGAGUGAUGAAGGUCUUCGGAUCGUAAAACUCUGUUAUUAGGGAAGAACAAAUGUGUAAGUAACUAUGCACGUCUUGACGGUACCUAAUCAGAAAGCAACGGCUAACUACGUG